UCACCCCUUGCUCCAGUCUAGCCUCCAAACUGGGAGGCUUGAGCUAACAGCUAUAUUUACAAGUUAACGUUAGGAAAGGCUUCCCUUCUACCCAGAAUGGGGGACACACCAGAAUGAGGGUAUGGCAAGAACAGAGGGGAUGCUAAGAACUUUCUUCCCUCUUAAGUAGUGAUCUCCAAAGUGGGGGCCAGAGGGCCCCCCCCCGCGUGGGCGAAGAUGGGUCGCGUCCCACCCUCCAGGAGAUAGCCAAUCCCAGGGCUUGUCUUCAUCACAAGCCACGCCCCUCCCCUCCCCCCCCACCGAGUUAGUUAUAACCUAGCCCCAAAGUAGGCGCUUACAGUAAGUAGCUGCUGGACUGGUGCCCCUGGGAAAAUCCCAGCCUACCCACUAAGGGGAAAAAAAAAAUUUGCAGACCCCUCCUCUAACUUUCUAAGGAACCAACGAUUUAACAAAGAUGUUUGCUGUAGGACAGAAAACUCUGCCAGAUCCUAGUGCAGAGCCAAAGUUUAGCUAAGACCCAGUCCCUACUCAUAGAACUUAUAAAUUUAGUAAGGGGAUAAGACACCAACGUAGAUUACUAUGUUAUAUGAGUGCAUGUCAGGGUGGAAGUUUGGGGAAGCUUCUUGAAGAAGGUGCCGUUUGAAUUGUACUUUAAAGGAUGGGUGAGGAAGGAAAAGGAACACAGUCCUAGAGUAAAACAACAGAGGUGAGAGAGGUCACUUUAAGCGAGCAGAGUUGUUCCAAUGAGAGGCAGUGGCAUGAGUGCAGAGUUUGGAGUCAGGAGACCUUGGUUCUCUGAACAUCUCCACCCACACAUCACAUACCUUGGUCCUAGCUGUGGGCAGCUAGGGGGGAAAGAAGACAAAAGUGCUGCAUCUGGAAUUGGGAGGAUCUGAAUUCAAAUGUGGGCCCAGACACUUACUAGUUGUGUGACCCUGGGGGGUGGAGGAGUAAUAUGGAAAAGGAGGAACAGGCAAGGAAUUCAGCUGUGCAGGCAGACCCGGGCAUGGGAGUCACCUUGGAUUUGAAGAAGCAUUAAUAAUGGGUAAAGCUGUGAUGCAGCAGAAAGAGAAGAUCUGAGGUGGAAUGGAAUUCUUGGCCCGUUGCUUGGCUCUUUGCUAGCUCCAUAACCUUGGUAGAGUCUACAGCCUCAAACAGUGCAGCCUAGUUCAUUCCAUGCCUCUUGGAGGGCAGACUGUGGGUUUCCUACUACGUUGCUUCAGAAGAUGGGAGAGAGCCUCAAAUCUGACAGCGUCCUGAGAUGAAGGACUGAAGUUCCAGUUGUGACCAGCAGGUGUCAGCAUCCAGCCAGGGUUUCCUACUGUGCCAUCAGCUGGCGCAGAUAGGACUGGCACCACCUCUGUUAGGAGCUGGGCAUCACAUCCAUGACCUUGGCAUCAUGAAGACAGAGCCAGCCCAGGCUGGAUGGCAGGGACAUUGGCACACUGCUGCUGGCAUGGAGUCCCUUAGAAACCCUGGGCAUUGGCUAGAGAUAAGCAGCCGAGGAAGGAUUGGGGUGGCAGACGGUCAUAGGGACUACCUAGGCACCAGUGGCCCAGCACCUCCAUCGGGCACUCUAGAGAUUCUCUGCCUGGAACCUUGAAAUGAACAAAUAUCGUUACAUCUUCUGGAGACUUGUGCUGUUUAGUGGGAGGGGAGGUGGUUGCAGGAGGAAAAGGAUCCUCUUGGUGCCAAGAGGACUGGUAGUCCCCUGUUGUACAAUGCUUUGGGACUUAGGACAGGAGGCAUCCCUAUGGGGUAGCAGAGUUAAACUCCGGAAUGACCAGAUUUUUGGAAUACAUGGGCUGAGACUCCCCUCUGGUGGCAGAAAUGGGAACAGCGCACAUCUUUAUCCUCUGGUGCUCCCAGGAGGCGGUUGGGAGGAACAGCAGUGCCAAUCUCAGAAGAGGACCCGCCCAACUCAUUGUGGGAGCUUCCUCUGUCUGGGGCACCUGGACAAAGGCUGACUUCCUGCUUUGGACACUGUCUGCUGCCCUCCAGAGGUGCCAGCUGUCCUGAAGAAAAAAAUUCCUCCUUCUGGAGCCAGUUCUUCCCCUCCCCAACAUACCCAGUACCCUCCCUUCUACCCUUCAACAGCCAGCCUCACACACACACUCCAAUCCCGGUCCAGUCGACUGCCUCCAUUCCCUGAAGAAGAGGCCUAAAGUUAAAACAGCUGUUAAUUUAUAAACCAAUUUUUCCGUGACUGCUUAAUAAAUCGCCAGCAGCUGCCAUGCCCUCUCCUACCGCCCAAGCUCCUGGCCCGGUGGGGGGGGGUGCUCACAGAGAAGGGAGGGCCUCACAGAGAAGCUUUGAACUACUGAGCCCUAAGCUCCCCUUGACAUUGUCUGUUUUCCCAAGCCCCCUGGGAAAUAUGGGCAGUUCACUGGACUUUAAAUUUUGGAGCUCAGUUUGAGCCUUUUUUACAAUGAGAGAGCCAAGGUAGGAGUGGGUUCCCAGAAACACUCAAAGGCUCUGUUCAGAAGUUGGGAGGCGGACUGUGUCUCUCACCUAACGGGAUCUCUAGGGAUUAUUUAGGAGCAUUUCAAAGGCUCUAGGAUAUUCCAGCUUUGGAGGGUGAUGUGGGGAAGAGAUGAAUGUGCCUCCUUUAAAAAGGCACCACAGAGGCAGAGGCAGAGGCAGAGGCAGAAAAAGUUACCUGCCUGAUGCAGACAACCUAGAGGAGCCCUGGUACCUUAACUCCCAGUUUGCCCCGUCCCUUAGGAUCAAGACAUUCACUUCCCUUCCCUUCUCCAUUUCCAUUUACUCUCAGAUCCUGUUUUCUUCUCUGUAGUAGGAUGGAUGGAAAGGAAGGAGAGCUAGAGGAUUCUUUCCUUCCCUAAUGGAGGGGGCCCCUUCCUCUUUUCCCAUCCUCAGAAUGGUGGGAGAUCAAAACCAUCUGUUGGCAUGGUUACUUGGUUCUGGCCUGAGAUACUAAGGAUUGAAUAACUACCCUUGCCCCUGACAGCUCUCUUAUUGCUCCCCUUCCUUAUCCCAUUUUUCCAGGGAUCAGUAGGUGGUCCUGAACUGAUCCAGCUAUGUCCUUCCUGCAGGCAGGGGGCUAGGGACUAGAAGGAACACAUCUGACAUGUUAAUCUCUUACUCCUUGCUUUUGAACCCCAGCUGCUCUUGAGAUAGACUAGAACAGUGGUUCUCAAACUUUUUGGUCUUAGGAUCCCUUUACAUCUUCAAAAUGAUUGAGGACCCCAAAGUACUUUUAUGUGAGUUAUAUCUAUUG